UACUUGGUUGAUCCUGCCAAGGAAGCACACUUAGGUCAUAGAUUAAGCCAUGCAAGUGUUAGUUCAGGUAACGAAACUGCGAAUAGCUCAUUAAUACGCUCAGAAUCUAUUUGGCGGCGACCAACAGGUCUUAAAUGGAUAGCAGCAGCAACUCUGGUGCUAAUACAUGCGAUUGUUUCUCCAGAUGUGAAUUAUGGAGGAAAAGUUGACCUCAUCAGAGGCACGCCAUUCGACUGAGUGACCUAUCAGCUUGUACUUAGGGUCUUUACCUAGGUAGGCUAUCACGGGUAACGGGCGGUUACCGUCGGACUGCCGGAGAAGGCGCCUGAGAGAUAGCGACUAUAUCCACGGGUAGCAGCAGGCGCGAAACUUUCCCACUCGAGACUUUCGGAGGAGGUAAUGACCAGUUCCAUUGGUGCCUUUUGGUACUGUGGAUAGGGGUACGGUUUUCCACCGUACCGAAACCUAGCAGAGGGCCAGUCUGGUGCCAGCAGCUGCGGUAAUUCCAGCUCUGCGAGUUUGCUCCCAUAUUGUUGCAGUUAAAACGCCCGUAGUCUGAAUUGGCCAGCAAUGGUCGUACGUAUUUUUACGUUCACUGUGAACAAAUCAGGACGCUUAGAGUAUGGCCACAUGAAUGACUCAGCGCAGUAUGAAGUCUUUGUUUUCUUCCGAAAACAAGCUCAAUGAGAGCCAUCGGGGGUAGAUCUAUCUCAUGACGAGUGGUGGAAUACUUUGACUCAUGAGAGAGAAGCUGAGGCGAAGGCGUCUACCUAGAGGGUUUCUGUCGAUCAAGGGCGAGAGUAGGA
rnacentral:ncRNA from 2 species